GACGUAGGGCGCAAGCGUUGUCCGGAUUUAUUGGGCGUAAAGAGCUCGUAGGCGGCUUGUCACGUCGGAUGUGAAAGCCCGAGGCUUAACCUCGGGUCUGCAUUCGAUACGGGCUAGCUAGAGUGUGGUAGGGGAGAUCGGAAUUCCUGGUGUAGCGGUGAAAUGCGCAGAUAUCAGGAGGAACACCGGUGGCGAAGGCGGGUCUCUGGGCCGAAAUUGACGCUGAGGAGCGAAAGCGUGGGGAGCGAACAGG
rnacentral:rRNA from 1 species